rnacentral:rRNA from 1 species
UAUAAGUCCACUAAAGAGCCGUUCGAGACUAGGACGUUGAUAGGUCAGGUGUGUAAGCGUUGUGAGGCGUUGAGCUAACUGAUACUAAUGACUCGAGAGGCUUAACCAUACAACCCAGAUGGGUUUUG